rnacentral:rRNA from 1 species
AAGCGUGCGCAGGCGGUUAUGUAAGACAGAUGUGAAAUCCCCGGGCUCAACCUGGGAACUGCAUUAGUGACUGCAUAGCUGGAGUACGGCAGAGGGGGAGUGGAAUUCCGCGUGUAGCAGUGAAAUGCGUAGAUAUGCGGAGGAACACCGAUGGCGAAGGCAAUCCCCUGGGCCUGUACUGACGCUCAUGCACGAAAGCGUGGGGAGCAAACAGGAUUAGAUACCCUUGU